UACGAAGGGUGCAAGCGUUACUCGGAAUUACUGGGCGUAAAGCGUGCGUAGGCGGCUUUACAGGUCCGUUGUGAAAACUCGAGGCUCAACCUCGAGACGCCGGUGGAAACCGUAAAGCUAGAGUCCGGAAGAGGAGAGUGGAAUUCCUGGUGUAGCGGUGAAAUGCGCAGAUAUCAGGAGGAACACCCGUGGCGAAAGCGGCUCUCUGGGACGGUACUGACGCUGAGACGCGAAAGCGUGGGGAGCAAACAGG
rnacentral:rRNA from 1 species